rnacentral:rRNA from 1 species
AUGCAGGAAGUACAAUUUGCAUGUAAUUUUUUACUUUUAGUUUCAGAUUAUCCCCUUUUCUGUGUGCAUUUACUAGACGCUUAUAUGAAUCUGUGUCAUCUUUCAUCGAGUAAAAUGCCUGGUAUAGCAGAACUAGAGUUGAAGCUCUCUGAGUAUACCAAAAAGAUGGCAUAUCUGCAACAGAUGGUUUAG